UACGACGGGCUUCUUUCAGUUUCUGUCUACCAAAUCCCCUCACAAGGCUUUGGUCAGCCUGAGGCUAUAGUAGAAGACACUUGCCCAAGUUGCCACUCAAUGCGAUUGAACCUGGAACCACGUAGUUGAUAAGUAAGCUACUUGCCACAGAGACACUCCUGACUCCUUCAAAGCAAAGUCGACCUCGGCGGAAUUUGAACUCGGAACGU